rnacentral:rRNA from 1 species
CCUACGGGAGGCAGCAGUAGGGAAUCUUCCACAAUGGGCGCAAGCCUGAUGGAGCAACGCAGCGUGGGUGAAGAAGGUCUUCGGAUCGUAAAACCCUGUUGUUAGAGAAGAAAGUGCGUGAGAGUAACUGUUCACGUUUCGACGGUAUCUACCCAGAAAGCCACGGCUAACUACUGGCCAGCCGCCGCGGUAAUACGUAGGUGGCAAGCGUUAUCCGGAUUUAUUGGGCGUAAAGGGAGCGCAGGCGGUCUGUUAAGUCUGAUGUGAAAGCCUUCGGCUUAACCGGAGUAGUGCAUUGGAGACUGGGAGACGUGAGUGCAGAAGAGGAGAGUGGAACUCCAGGUGUAGCGGUGAAAUGCGUAGAUAUAUGGAAGAACACCAGUGGCGAAAGCGGCUCUCUGGGCUGUAACUGACGCUGAGGUUCGAAAGCGUGGGUAGCAAACAGGAUUAGAUACCCUUGUAGUC